CCUACGGGAGGCAGCAGUGAGGAAUAUUGGUCAAUGGGCGUAAGCCUGAACCAGCCAAGUCGCGUGAGGGAUGAAGGUUCUAUGGAUCGUAAACCUCUUUUAUAAGGGAAUAAAGUGAGGGACGUGUCCCGUUUUGUAUGUACCUUAUGAAUAAGGAUCGGCUAACUCCGUGCAAGCAGCCGCGGUAAUACGGAGGAUCCGAGCGUUAUCCGGAUUUAUUGGGUUUAAAGGGUGCGUAGGCGGUCUGUUAAGUCAGCGGUGAAAGUCUGUGGCUCAACCAUAGAAUUGCCGUUGAAACUGGCAGGCUUGAGUAUGUUUGAGGCAGGCGGAAUGCGUGGUGUAGCGGUGAAAUGCUUAGAUAUCACGCAGAACCCCGAUUGCGAAGGCAGCCUGCCAAGCCAUGACUGACGCUGAUGCACGAAAGCGUGGGGAUCAAACAGGAUUAGAUACCCUAGUAGUC
rnacentral:rRNA from 1 species